rnacentral:rRNA from 1 species
AUUGAACGCUGGCGGCAGGCUUAACACAUGCAAGUCGAGCGGAGCGAGGGUGCUUGCACCUUAGCUUAGCGGCGGACGGGUGAGUAAUGCUUAGGAAUCUGCCUAUUAGUGGGGGACAACAUUCCGAAAGGAAUGCUAAUACCGCAUACGCCCUACGGGGGAAAGCAGGGGAUCUUCGGACCUUGCGCUAAUAGAUGAGCCUAAGUCGGAUUAGCUAGUUGGUGGGGUAAAGGCCUACCAAGGCGACGAUCUGUAGCGGGUCUGAGAGGCUGAUCCGCCAAGCUGGGACUGAGACACGGCCCAGAAUCCUACGGGAGGCAGCAGUGGGGAAUAUUGGACAAUGGGCGGAAGCCUGAUCCAGCCAUGCCGCGUGUGUGAAGAAGGCCUUUUGGUUGUAAAGCACUUUAAGCGAGGAGGAGGCUACUUAGAUUAAUACUCUGGGAUAGUGGACGUUACUCGCAGAAUAAGCACCGGCUAACUCUGUGCCAGCCGCCGCAGUAACAC